UCCUGGGCCAUUAGCUCAGGUGGUUAGAGCGCACCCCUGAUAAGGGUGAGGUCCCUGGUUCAAGUCCAGGAUGGCCCAUUCGUUGUUGGGGGUAUAGCUCAGUUGGUAGAGCGCCUGCUUUGCAAGCAGGAUGUCAGCGGUUCGAGUCCGCUUACCUCCACUGAAAACUAUCCUGACAACUAAAUUCUGGAGAAAAAUUGUAGAUGUGGCUUAGAAUUGUCUAUUUGAAGAGAACCUAGCUUCUUGUCAUCUUUUAUAGUUGAUAAAAUGCUGGGCUCGCAUGGAUUAUUUCCAUGAGAAUUCAGUAGAACCUUGAAAACUGCAUAGAUUAGAAAGAAUAAAGCAUCUCAUGGAUGCAUAAUUCUGUUUUUAUAAUUUAGCCUUAAAACUAAAUUAUUUAAUUCUAGAAUUCAUGUUUAAUUCUUGAGUAAAAGCCGAGCACAAUUGAUUUUGUGAUUGUAUUUAAGGUCAAGCUACAAAGGGCUCAUGGCGGAUACCUUGGCACACAGAGGCGAUGAA
rnacentral:tRNA from 1 species